rnacentral:misc_RNA from 1 species
CAGCUUUUUGGUUGUUCAUACUUCUACUGUCCCAUUAUUGAUAGGGGGUUGUAAAGUGUAAACUAAUGGGUUGGGCCAAGUUAUAGCAUACUCAAGCAAGUUGUACCAGAAAUCACUAUAUACGCAUUGAUUAAUGAUCUGAAUCACGUGAUUUGGAUCAUGAAUAAUUGAUAAUUUAGGACGUUGAAAUCAAUAUUGCAACAUGAAUAUGUUAGGUAGUAGCCCUAACAGUAGAUAUUCCAGAGAAGAAAAUGGUAUAAAUAAUAGAUU